rnacentral:rRNA from 1 species
GACCCUGGCUCAGGAUGAACGCUAGCUACAGGCUUAACACAUGCAAGUCGAGGGGCAGCAUGGUCUUAGCUUGCUAAGGCCGAUGGCGACCGGCGCACGGGUGAGUAACGCGUAUCCAACCUGCCUUACACUCUUGGACAGCCUUCUGAAAGGGAGAUUAAUACAAGAUGUUAUCAUGAGUAAGCAUUUUCGCAUGAUUAAAGGUUUACCGGUGUAAGAUGGGGAUGCGUUCCAUUAG